CUUUGGUUUGCUCAGUUGGUAGAGCGCUCCAGUGGAAGUGGAGAAGUCCUGGGUUCGAUACCUGGACCAGGCG
rnacentral:tRNA from 1 species